AAGUGGAAAACGAUGUGAAGUUACUUAAACAACCAGGAGGUUGGCUUAGAAGCAGCCAUCCUUUAAAGAAAGCGUAAUAGCUCACUGGUCUAGUGAUUUUGCGCGGAAAAUAUAACGGGGCUAAAGUAAGUACCGAAGCUGUAGACUUAGUUUACUAAGUGGUAGGAGAGCGUUCUAUUUGCGUCGAAGGUAUACCGGUAAGGAGUGCUGGAGCGAAUAGAAGUGAGCAUGCAGGCAUGAGUAGCGAUAAUUAAUGUGAGAAUCAUUAACGCCGUAAACCCAAGGUUUCCUACGCGAUGCUCGUCAUCGUAGGGUUAGUCGGGUCCUAAGUCGAGUCCGAAAGGGGUAGACGAUGGCAAAUUGGUUAAUAUUCCAAUACCAACAUUAGUGUGCGAUGGAAGGACGCUUAGGGCUAAGGGGGCUAGCGGAUGGAAGUGCUAGUCUAAGGUCGUAGGAGGUUAUACAGGCAAAUCCGUAUAACAAUACUCCGAGAACUGAAAGGCUUUUUGAAGUCUUCGGAUGGAUAGAAGAACCCCUGAUGCCGUCGAGCCAAGAAAAGUUUCUAAGUUUAGCUAAUGUUGCCCGUACCGUAAACCGACACAGGUGGGUGGGAUGAGUAUUCUAAGGCGCGUGGAAGAACUCUCUUUAAGGAACUCUGCAAAAUAGCACCGUAUCUUCGGUAUAAGGUGUGGUUAGCUUUGUAUUAGGAUUUACUCUGAAAGCAAGGAAACUUACAACAAAGAGUCCCUCCCGACUGUUUACCAAAAACACAGCACUCUGCUAACUCGUAAGAGGAUGUAUAGGGUGUGACGCCUGCCCGGUGCUCGAAGGUUAAUUGAUGGGGUUAGCAUUAGCGAAGCUCUUGAUCGAAGCCCGAGUAAACGGCGGCCGUAACUAUAACGGUCCUAAGGUAGCGAAAUUCCUUGUCGGUUAAAUACCGACCUGCAUGAAUGGCGUAACGAGAUGGGAGCUGUCUCAAAGAGGGAUCCAGUGAAAUUGUAGUGGAGGUGAAAAUUCCUCCUACCCGCGGCAAGACGGAAAGACCCCGUGGACCUUUACUACAGCUUGACACUGCUACUUGGAUAAGAAUGUGCAGGAUAGGUGGGAGGCUUUGAGUAUAUGACGCCAGUUGUAUAUGAGCCAUUGUUGAGAUACCACUCUUUCUUAUUUGGGUAGCUAACCAGCUUGAGUUAUCCUCAAGUGGGACAAUGUCUGGUGGGUAGUUUGACUGGGGCGGUCGCCUCCCAAAUAAUAACGGAGGCUUACAAAGGUUGGCUCAGAACGGUUGGAAAUCGUUCGUAGAGUAUAAAGGUAUAAGCCAGCUUAACUGCAAGACAUACAAGUCAAGCAGAGACGAAAGUCGGUCUUAGUGAUCCGGUGGUUCUGUGUGGAAGGGCCAUCGCUCAAAGGAUAAAAGGUACCCCGGGGAUAACAGGCUGAUCUCCCCCAAGAGCUCACAUCGACGGGGAGGUUUGGCACCUCGAUGUCGGCUCAUCGCAUCCUGGGGCUGGAGCAGGUCCCAAGGGUAUGGCUGUUCGCCAUUUAAAGCGGUACGCGAGCUGGGUUCAGAACGUCGUGAGACAGUUCGGUCCCUAUCUGCCGUGGGCGUAAGAAGAUUGAAGAGAUUUGACCCUAGUACGAGAGGACCGGGUUGAACAAACCACUGGUGUAGCUGUUGUUCUGCCAAGAGCAUCGCAGCGUAGCUAAGUUUGGAAAGGAUAAACGCUGAAAGCAUCUAAGCGUGAAGCCAACUCUAAGAUGAAUCUUCUCUAAGCUCUCUAGAAGACUACUAGUUUGAUAGGCUGGGUGUGUAAUGGAUGAAAGUCCUUUAGCUGACCAGUACUAAUAGAGCGUUUGGCUUAUCUUUAAUAAAGCAU
rnacentral:rRNA from 1 species